rnacentral:rRNA from 1 species
GACGAACGCUGGCGGCGUGCCUAAUACAUGCAAGUCGAACGAACGGAUUGAGGAGCUUGCUCUUCAUGAAGUUAGUGGCGGACGGGUGAGUAACACGUGGGUAACCUGCCCUUCAGUGGGGGAUAACAUCCGGAAACGGGUGCUAAUACCGCAUAGUUUUUAGUUCCGCAUGGAACUGAAAGAAAGACGGCUUUGCUGUCGCUUAUAGAUGGUCCCGCGGCGCAUUAGCUAGUUGGUGAGAUAAAAGCUCACCAAGGCUAUGAUGCGUAGCCGACCUGAGAGGGUAACCGGCCACACUGGGACUGAGACACGGCCCAG